CGAGACGCCCGGAUCACCCGCUAGCCAAUAAGCAAGUAAUGACGCAUGAGCGAAGACACGGCACGACGAUGACGAUGCGCGCCGCUAAACUUUACAGCCCCAAACCAACUGGAACUUGAAAGUCUGCUGAUAUUUUUGCAGUCACUAGAGAAAGAAAAAAAUAUGAAUUAUUGAGGCGGUAAUUCUUGGUUGGAUUUUCCAAACUGUGGAAAUUCACUGGAACUCAAAGAGGGAUCUGUCAUUUACUCUACCUCUCACCCACUCAGCUGUGACCUGGAAAAGGAAAAAGAGAGGUACGAGUCGAUUUCCUGCAGCAUGUUGUGAGGCCGCAGCCUGGGACAACCUCGCUGACCUCGGCGACCGCCGUGACGUGUGGAGGAGGAUUAGUCAGAAAGAAGCCCCUUUGCUGUCUCCGAGGUUGGGGAGGUGGACUGCACGUUGGAGCGCACAGAAUAUGUCCUGAUCAGUGGCGGACUUGGCAAUUUUGGGGCCUAAGGCGAACAUAUCCAGGGACCCUCCUCAUGGGUCAGGGGUUAAAAGGUGAGAAGGGUGUGGAGGAAAUAUGUUCCGGUACACUAGGGCUGUCCUAAACGACAAGUUUUCUCCUGAUUAGUCAGCCGACUAGUUUUACAAUUAGUCGACUAAUCUAAUAAUUAAAAAAAAUUUUUUUUUUACUAAUUUAGCAAUGAAUUUUUUGUUGACGCGUAUUAAUUCACGAAACCAUUUUGGAAAACUUAAAUUCUUUAUCAAACUACAAAUAAUCAUAUAAAUAAGAAUAAUUAAUCACAAAUAAACAAUGAGGUUAAAUGCUGAUAGCAUUUACUAGUGCAAAAGAAUGGAAAGUAAACAGAUUCAGAACACUGACUUUGCCUUUCCAACAUUAUUCAAAACAAUUCUUUAAAAAAAAAUUGUAAAUUAUAGUAUACUACUAUAUAUAAUAGUAUAAUAAUUAUAAUAAUUAUUCAUUGCCAAUCAUAUUUGUCACAAAGAGUGUCAUUUGAAAGCUAUUCUUAGUGUAGAAUCUGUAUUCUGUAGUAUUUACUCAACAUAUUUUAAUAUUCAUUCUGAAGUAUGUGGGAUUAACUCCAGAAAUUCUUAUUUAUAUGACGAACAUGACGUACUUUUAUUUUGAAAUGUUCACCGGAGGUACGUUCGCUAAACCACUAACCGAAAGCUUUACACUCCGUAAAAAAAACAUUCUUCGUCAUUGCUUGUGGUGUCACUAAUAGAUUUAAUUUUAUUUUCAUUAGCAAAUGCUGUUAACCAGCUCUUGAGUGCUAUUGUAUGACUGAUUGGAACUGUACUGCAUUGUUUGGCCAGCUAAGCGGAGCUAAGCGAUGCUAAACGGAGCUAAGCGAAGCUAAACGGCGC